GAAAAUUCCUUGUGCAAAUUGUAGACCGGACAUCAAAUUUCAAGAGGAGAUCAAACUGUCAUGCCUGGAUGCAUUGUUAAGAAAGAAUGCGAGAAGCUAGACAACAGAGGAAGCUUCAGAAUAACAUUUUUUACUUUGUUCACAGUUGGAGUUUUGAAAUAGUUCUUCACCUUCAAUUUUCAGGGUAAAGGAACAAACUCUAUGGUCAGAAUACUACUUGGAUUAUUCAAGAGACAGGAGACAUUCAUAAAUCUGUUUAAAAUGAAAUAAAUAGGAAGAUCAGGUAAUUCCUUAAUGUGAAUGAUCUUGUUACUAUAUCUUUCAUUUCCAUUUUCAGAUAUUCUCAAGAAUCUUAAAAGCAUUCUUAUUCAAGAAGCCAUUUUAUCAAAGUAUGUACUAUUUGCAGAAUCAUUGUCAUCAAAUGUGUGCCCCUAAACCAA